UGGCUCAGGACGAACGCUGGCGGCGUGCCUAAUACAUGCAAGUCGAGCGAGGAGAUCCUCGGGAUGAUCCUAGCGGCGGACGGGUGAGUAACACGUGGGCAACCUGCCUCAUAGAGAGGAAUAGCCUUCCGAAAGGGAGAUUAAUACCUCAUAACAUUGCAGUUUCGCAUGGAACAGCAAUUAAAGGAGCAAUCCACUAUGAGAUGGGCCCGCGGCGCAUUAGCUAGUUGGUGAGGUAACGGCUCACCAAGGCGACGAUGCGUAGCCGACCUGAGAGGGUGAUCGGCCACAUUGGGACUGAGACACGGCCCAGACUCCUACGGGAGGCAGCAGUGGGGAAUAUUGCACAAUGGGGGAAACCCUGAUGCAGCCAACGCCGCGUGAGUGAUGACGGCCUUCGGGUUGUAAAGCUCUGUCUUCAGGGACGAUAAUGACGGUACCUGAGGAGGAAGCCACGGCUAACUACGUGCCAGCAGCUGC
rnacentral:rRNA from 1 species